AAAGGAUGUUUCAUUUCUACUAUCACUCAGACGUCAAUAAAAACCAAACAUCAUCGCUAAGACAUUGACUACAACUUAAUUUUUAUCCAAAUGCUUGGGACACACCAAAUGAGUAUUGCUCCCAAAGUCAAAGUUAUCAGACAAACUAUCAAAAACGUAUUUCACAAAGAGAAAAAGACUUCUCUAUCACACUUAAAACCUAAUCAAUAAAAUCAAAAGGUAGAAACAUACACCCUAGAAAAUACCAAAACAUAUGAUACAAAAGAAAACAACAUAUAAUAACUAGACAAAUAUAGAUAUUGCACUUUUUAUACAAGGACCAAACCAUGUC
rnacentral:lncRNA from 1 species